UUGUAGUGUAAUUUCUACAAUGUUAAUGUAAUGGAUCCCAUUAGAAAUCCAUAAUUAUGCGUGAUUGGGCUAAGAUAGUACUGGGAUGGGUGACCUCUCUGAAAGUCCUAGUAUUUUACAUG
rnacentral:rRNA from 1 species